rnacentral:tRNA from 1 species
UAGCUCAUUUGGUAGAGCAUGAGACUCUUAAUCUCAGGGCGUGGGUCGAAGCCAC